rnacentral:rRNA from 1 species
AUUGAACGCUGGCGGCAGGCCUAACACAUGCAAGUCGAGCGAGCGGCGGACUGGUGAGUAAUGUAUGGGGACUGCCCGACCGACGGGGAUAACUACUGUAACCGGUGGCUAAUACCGCAUACUAUCGGAUAACCCAUAUGGGAUUAGCUAGUAGGUGGGGUAACGGCUCACCUAGGCGACAAUCUCUAGCUGGUCUGAGAGGAUGAUCAGCCACACUGGGACUGAGACACGGCCCAGACUCCUACGGAGGCAGCAGUGGGGAAUAUUGCACAAUGGGCGCAAGCCUGAUGCAGCAAUGCCGCGUGUAUGAAGAAGGCCUUAGGGUUGUAAAGUACUUUCAGCGGGGAGGCGUUACCCGCAGAAGAAGCACCGGCUAACUACGUGCCAGCAGCCGCGGUAAUAC